AAGUCGUAACAAGGUUUCCUUCCAGGCGGUGCAUCCGCUGAAGCCUCCCGCAGCGACUAUAAACAAAACGCGUCAGUCCGCCCCGCGGGCGACACCACGAUCCUACUGGGACUCAUGCAUGCGUCUUUGACCAUGCAGGUAUCAGUGGCCUGUGCAUCAGGUUCACAGAUCAGACAGUGGUGGCCGUUGUGGUUAAGAUAUGACCGGUCUCCGCUGUAACCAGCCGGAGAGAACACGUUCCGUAGGUGAACCUGCGGAAGGAUCAUUA
rnacentral:rRNA from 1 species